rnacentral:rRNA from 12 species
UGGCGGCUGUAGCGCGGUGGUCCCACCUGACCCCAUGCCGAACUCAGAAGUGAAACGCCGUAGCGCCGAUGGUAGUGUGGGGUCUCCCCAUGCGAGAGUAGGGAACUGCCAG